CCUCCUGCUCUCCGUGGCUCACUUUCGGUGGAAUUCUUAUCUGCAACACCAGCAACAAAGCAGAGAUGUAAUAAUGAUCCCGGGAAAGGAAGUCACUGCAGAGAUUAAGGAAGGGGAAGUUCAGGGCCCAUCCCACCAGCCACACAACAAAUUGGAAUGGGAGAUUUUACAAACAAACUCAAGUCUGCUGAAACUGCUGUGUAAGAAUUAACACACAGAGGGUAAAGAGGAUGGGGACAGGCAGAAAGAAUGGAGGCAAAAGAAAAGCAGACUACAAGUGAGGUGACUUGCCACUUUAAUUUUCCUCCGGGGUGACAGAACCUCUGUGACAGGUAGGUUAUUUUGGUUCUUCAUUAGGACUCUUAUUAAUAAUGG
rnacentral:lncRNA from 1 species